GACGUAGGGCGCGAGCGUUGUCCGGAUUUAUUGGGCGUAAAGAGCUCGUAGGCGGCUUGUCGCGUCGUCCGUGAAAACCCACAGCUCAACUGUGGGCUUGCGGUCGAUACGGGCAGGCUAGAGUUCGGUAGGGGAGACUGGAAUUCCUGGUGUAGCGGUGAAAUGCGCAGAUAUCAGGAGGAACACCGGUGGCGAAGGCGGGUCUCUGGGCCGAUACUGACGCUGAUGCGCGAAAGCUAGGGGAGCAAACGGG
rnacentral:rRNA from 1 species